rnacentral:rRNA from 1 species
AACGAACGCUGGCGGCAUGCCUAACACAUGCAAGUCGAACGAGACCUUCGGGUCUAGUGGCGCACGGGUGCGUAACGCGUGGGAACCUGCCCUUAGGUUCGGAAUAACUCCCCGAAAGGGGUGCUAAUACCGGAUAAUGUCUUCGGACCAAAGAUUUAUCGCCUUUGGAUGGGCCCGCGUUGGAUUAGCUAGUUGGUAGGGUAAAAGCCUACCAAGGCGACGAUCCAUAGCUGGUCUGAGAGGAUGAGAAGACACACUGGGACUGAGACACGGCCCAGACUACUACGGGAGGCAGGAGAGGGGAAUAUUGGAAAAUGGGCGAAAGCCUGAUCCAGCAAUGCCGCGUGAGUGAUGAAGGCGUUAGGGUUGUAAAGCUCUUUUACACGGGAUGAUAAUGACAGUACCGGGAGAAUAAGCACCGGCUAACUCCGUG